AUAUGGGGUAUCCAUAAUCUCCACACCAACGUUUGACCGUUUGUCUUAUUUGAAAAAAAAUUGUGAUUAGCAUUUUUAUUGCUAUUACAUGAUAAAACAUGAGUAGUAUUUUAUGUGUGGCUAAUUCUUUUUAAUUUUUUCAUAAAUUUUUUAAAUAAGAUGGACGGUCAAAACGCUAAACACGGAUAUCUAUGGCUCCACUUAUU
rfam:Oryza nivara chromosome 2, whole genome shotgun sequence.